rnacentral:rRNA from 1 species
GAUAAACGCUAGCGGCAGGCUUAACACAUGCAAGUCGAGGGGCAGCAUAGAUUGUAGCAAUACAAUUGGUGGCGACCGGCGCACGGGUGCGUAGCGCGUAUGCAACCUACCCGUCACAGGGGGAUAAUCCGGAGAAAUCUGGUCUAAUACCCCAUAACAUAUGGAUCGGCAUCGGUUCAUGUUGAAAUUUUCGGAGGUGACGGAUGGGCAUGCGUAGCAUUAGCUUGUUGGUGAGGUAACGGCUCACCAAGGCGACGAUGCUUAGGGGGACUGAGAGGUUUUCCCCCCACACUGGUACUGAGACACGGACCGGACUCCUACGGGAGGCAGCAGUGAGGAAUAUUGGUCAAUGGGCGCAAGCCUGAACCAGCUAUGCCGCGUGCAGGAUGACGGCUCUAUGAGUUGUAAACUGCUUUUGUACGAGGGUAAAGUGGGUUACGUGUAACCUUUUGAAAGUAUCGUACGAAUAAGGAUCGGCUAACUCCGUGCCAGCCGCCGCCGUAA